ensembl:snRNA U6 U6 spliceosomal RNA
GUGCUCACUUUGGCAGCACAUAUACUAAAACUAGAAUGAUACAAAGAUUAGCAUGGCCCCUGUGCAGGAUGACACACAAAUUCAUGAAGCAUUCCAUAUUUUC